ACUGUAACCGGUGGACGUCGACUCGUGGCUAUAUAACACGAUAAAUCAAUCGGUUGACAACGAAACUUUAUCUUUAUCUUCGUUCGGAAUUAAAAGAACGGGAAAAUAGUAUUAUCAAUAAAUCACUGUUUGAUCCCAAAGUGAUAACAAACAUUCACAUCUACCGUUUGUAAUUUUUAUCUAAACGAUUAUACGGCUGAAGAAAUGAAAAGAAGCUUUAGGCUUAAGAUGAAUAAACGUUCGAAAUUUUAUCAGAUUUUCCUUCCGAGAUUAAACAUUUACCGUGAUUUUACUUAUAAGUGUACAGUAGUUUCUUCGAUAGAUAACAGAGAUAUAAAUUAAAAUAUUCACUAUCGACAUCGAUCGAUAAAAAGACAUUUUGGAUCAAUUAACAUUUUUAUUUAUCCAAGAACUUCAGACGAUCAAAUUCGAUCCAAGAUCCCUCGCUACGAUUUAAUUAUAUCUAUGGACAAUAUCCAUCCUGGUUGGGAAAGAAAAAUAUAUCAGAAUAACUUUGUAUUACCUUCAACGAAAGUUAUGGAAUUAGGACUUAGAAAAAUUGCCACAUUCGGAGAAAUAUAAUCCUUAUUACGAAAGAUUUUGGCUACAAGAGAUCCCAAUAUAUCAAGGAUGAUGAAGAAUCUCAGAUAUAAAAAAACACCCUAAGAAGAAAAUUAGAAGUUCCAACAAUAAAAACGGAGAGAACACUACGAAACAAUAGGAAGAAAGAAGAGAAACGUCAUGAAAAAAAAUUAAUAUUACGGAGAUAUAAAAAUUUUAAUAUUUUUAUGCCAGAAUGAAAAAAAAGAAGAGAAUGAUAUAGAGCUACAAAGUUUUAAUAUGAAAAUACGGAAUGCUCGAUCGUAUAUGUAAAUAUAUACAAGCUAUUUAUGCACGGUGCUAUACACGUGUACUAUAUACAUUCGAAAAUUAAAGAUUGCUGUCUCAUCUAUAUAUAAACUUCUAGGUGAUGAUUAAAAUUUUUGAAAUGAAACGAGUAAUACUAAGAUCGAUAUUGUUAAUAGUAGCCUCGACCGGAUUUUAUGCCGAGUAUUAUAAAAAAAAAUUUAAAAAAUUGAUUUCUAGGUGAACUAAGUAAUAUUAUUUCCCUUAUUACGUCUCAUAAAAUAUACUACGAUAUAUACUAUCAUUCAAUCAAAAAAGCCGUAAAAAUCUGAGAGGAGAAUAAAUAAAAUAUUUAAACAAGUAAUAAUUUUCUUUGUAAGAAAAGGUAAUUCCAAAUCGAUUAAAUUAACAAUUAGAUAGAAAACAUUCAAUCAAUUUAUUAUAUAUCUACGCGUAUUUCCAAUAAAUAAUACACAAUAAUUUUUCUCGUUACCUUUCGAAUUUUUCUCCAAAAGCGAUCCAUUCAUCCUGUCGUUAAUCUUUCAAUAUUCUCCUCCUCACAUCGUUAUUAUUUUCGAUUUCAUCGAGAAAAAAAAACGAUGGAAUAAUCGAAAUCGACGGAUCGUAACAGUUUGCCAGAAAUUCAUCGCCUCCAGAUUUAUUGUUAUCGAACGGUUGACCGGUUUUUAUUGCCUUGUUGCACGUUUCUAGGAAAGACUGUGUUAUUUCGUGGAUCGACCUAAUUCUCGUUAAUCGAUCGCGUGUCGUAAGAAGGUAACGAGAAAUCAAAAUAGAAGGGAGGAGAGAAAGAGAACAAUGAAGGGAGCAGCGUGUGGUCCAGGAAAAAAAGUUAAUUAAUUAAAAGUUAGACGAGGGAAGGAGAAUACGAUUGACGAGAUCGAACGUCCCCUGGAAAGAGAUUUCGAAUUACAUGGUUCUGAAAAGAAAUUAGUGGACAAGAAACAUGAUAAAAUUUUGUUCUGUCGCGAUUAUUGGUGAAGAAAAUUUUUAAAAAUUGGAAUGGAAAUCCACGCUCUGGAUAUAAAUAAUAAAAAAUAAUGUAGCAAGAAAAUUUUAAUGAAACGAACGGAUUGAAUAUUUUAUUCUCUGAUAAAGAUUUCAUGGGACCAAUAAACGUAGAGAUUUCAUAAGUUGAACAAAUAGUAAUUUACUUUCGUUUUGUCACGACUACUCGUGAGACAACUCGUCUAAAAAUAGGUGAAGCUCGACGGACUAGAUAAAUAAUAAAACUGGCAAGAAAAUCUUAAUGAAGUAUAUAAGAUAAAUAUUUUAUUCUUCCUGUGACAAGGAUUUCAUCAAGAUAACCAAUCGCAAAGCUUUCCAUAAUUCAUAAACUACACGAACUGUAAUUUAUCUCUGCCUUGUUGCUGCUAUUCUUCGUGAGGAAAUUCGUCUAAAAAUGAAUGAGUAAUUCACGAAAGUAGUAAAUGAAUAGUAAUAAAAUGGCAAAUACAAAUGACAAAUAAUAAAUAGAAAGGAGAUUUUAAUGAAACGAGGAUACCGAACAUUUUGUUCCCUUCUUAUAAGGAUUUCAUCAGGAUGACCAAUCGUAGAGAUUUCCACAUUUCCAAGAGAAUUUCUCGGAACGAGUUAUCUCGCCAUUUCCUGUGCAAACAUGACGCGAGGGAGAAUAUUCCGACAAGUAUACCAAAAUCUCGUUCGCGUGAUGUACGUAGUUUUGAGAGAUUGUAUUCAUUUUCCUCUUGAGGAUUAUAAAUUGUUGAUCAAGCACAAGAAUCUUUAUUAAACAUUCCUUCUUUCUUGUA